UCACUGCGUGCAGAAACACUGCCAUCAUGUCUGACAAAUUGCCCUACAAAGUCGCUGACAUCAGCCUGGAGGACUGGGGACGCGAGGCCAUGGACCUUGCGGAGAACGAGAUGCCAGGCCUGAUGCACAUGAGGGAGAUGUACUCGGCCUCCAAGCCCCUGAAGGGUGCCCGCAUCACCGGCUGCCUGCACAUGAUUGUGGAGAUGGCGUCCUCAUUGAGACCCUCACCGCCCUGGGUGCUGAGGUGCAGCGGUCUAGCUGCAACAUCUUCCCCACCCAGGACCAUGCAGCCGCUGCCAUUGCCAAGGCAGGCAUUCCCUUGUAUGCCUGGAAGGGUGAGACAGACAAGGAGUACCUGUGGUGUAUCGAGCAGACGUUGUACUUCAAGGAUGGGCCUCUCAACAUGGUUUUGGAUGAUGGUGGUGACCUUACCAACCUUAUCCACACCAAGUACCCACAGCUUCUGUCAGGCAUCCAAGGCAUCUCUGAGGAGACACAACUGGGGUCCACAACCUAUACAAGAUGAUGGCCAAUGGGAUCCUGAAAGUGCCUGCCAUCAACGUCAAUGACUCUGUCACCAAGAGCAAGUUUGACAAUCUCUAUGGCUGCCGGGAGUCCCUCAUUGAUGGCACCAAACGGGCCACAGAUGUGAUGAUUGCAAGCAAGGUGGCAGUAGUAGCAGGCUAUGGUGAUGUAGGCAAAGGCUGUGUCCAGGCUCUGGGGGGUUUCAGGGCCCGUGUCAUCAUCACCGAGAUUGAUCCCAUCAUCACACUACAGGCUGCCAUGGAGGGCUACAAAGUGACCACCACAGAUGAGGCCUGUCAAGAGGACAACAUCUUUGUCACCACCACAGGCUGUAUUGACAUAAUUCUUGGUCAGCACUUUGAGCAGAUGAAGGAUGAUGCUGUUGUGUGUAACAUUGGACACUUUGAUGUGGAGAUAGAUGUCAAGUGGCUUAAUGAGAAUGCUGUGGAGAAGGUGAACAUUAAGCCCCAGGUGGACUGAUACUUGCUGAAGAAUGGGCGCCGCAUCAUCCUGCUGGCCAAUGGCCGGCUGGUCAACCUAGGUUGCGCCAUGGGCCACCCCAGCUCCGUGAUGAGUAAUUCCUUCACCAACCAGGUUCUGGCACAGAUUGAACUUUGGACUCACCCAGACAAGUACCCCGUUGGGGUUCACUUCCUGCCUAAAAAGCUGGAUGAAGCAGUGGCUGAAGCCAACCUGGGUAAGCUGAACGUGAAGCUGACCAAGCUGACUGAGAAGCAGGCCAAGUACCUGGGUAUGCCCCGUGAUGGCCCCUUCAAGCCUGAUCACUACCGCUACUGAGAGACAGGCCUGCUCAGCACCUUUCAGCUGCUGUCCUUGCCCAGGCCCCGCCUCACCUCCCCAAGAGCAAAUGGCACCAACUCUGGGAUUGGUUUGUCUGUGUGCCCCUAUUGACUCCCCGGGACUGUCACUCAGUCUGUGGCUUCUGCUGCAUCCCUCAACUGUUCCAAGUGUGGCAGGGGGCAUUGAGAGGGCUCUCCUCAAGGGCUGGUCAUGAUAGAGGGACACGUCUGCAGGAAACCAUGAGCUCAGUGGUCUUGGAACUGCUCACUAGUCAGUCCUUUAGGCUGAAAGUUGGUAGUGGUGGUCACAAAACCUACGUAUCUUAUCCUCUAGACUUUCACCUAGCCUAGGGGCCCAUGUGCUUGGUUUACAGUUUAACUAGUCCAUCAGACCAUGACAGAUGAGAAUAAGCUUUAUUUUUUAUUUUUCUGAGAUAGGGUCUUGCUUUGUCUUGUUGCCUAGAGUGUAGUGGUAUCAUCAUAGCUCACUUCAACCUCAAACUCCUGGGCUCAACCGAGAUUAUCGGCUCAUCCCA